GGGGAUGUAGCUCAGUGGUAGAGCGUGUGCUUCGCAUGUACAAUGUCCAGGGUUCAAUCCCCUGCCUCUCCA
rfam:Hypsibius dujardini strain Z151 scaffold0106, whole genome shotgun sequence.